AGUACCACAGCCUCCUAAACUUGCUUCCAACUCCAUGGGUGUAGCUCCGAGCACCGGUGUCGAGGCUCCGGCGACCAGUUCACGCCGGAUUCCAGUGAGGGGUGGAAUCCUGAACCGCAUUCUGAAGCUCUUCUGCUUUCGGUCAACCCUGAAGGGUUCGACAUUGGACUUGAAGAAGAAGAAGAAGUAGUAGUAGAAGAAGAAGGGUAUGCCCAGCUGCUUAUGUUGCUAUAAUAUUACGUUGCAUUAAAAUAGAGAACUGCCUGCUAGGGUUAGCGUUCCCAAUCCCCACCUUAAGUAGGUGAUAGAGUUAUGUGUGCACGAAAUCUUAAUUAGUUGGCAUGCAAUGAUGUUUAGCUAAAAUUAGAAUGUAUUGACAAAUCUUUGCUAUAGUGUCAUGUAAUACAUAGUAUUUGCUUUUGGCCUUAAGUACAAUGGGGUCUUGAUCAUAUAUGUAAUUUGUAUGUACUACGUAUACACC
rnacentral:lncRNA from 1 species